UGGUUAAUAAACGAAUCAGGACCAUGUAUGGUGGCUUUUAAUAAGUACACGUCUAUAAAUUGCUAUACUUGGAAUAAGGUUAAUAUUAGAAAUAGGAAACCUGAUCAUAUGCUUGAUGUUUAAAGUGACCGAUAUGUUUCAUUUAAAAAUUAUGUAGACGGAAGAAUAAAAAUAAUAAAAUAUUAAAUUUUAAGUUUUUACUAGAAUUAUUUAUCAUAUAUUAAUCAUUACAAAAUGUGGGUUUUAUCUUCUUUUCUUUCAUAAUACUUUCUUUUCAUUU
rnacentral:lncRNA from 1 species